CUCCAUUUGAUGUAUCGGUCUGUUGAUACUGUUGCAAAUCGUCUCCAGAAUCGGAAGAUUGAUCUUGCUGUGUAUGCUGACUGAGUUCAGAAUCAGAAUCUAAUUCUUGCUGUAUCUGUUGUAGGUCUCCAUUUGAUGUAUCGGUCUGUUGAUACUGUUGCAAAUCGUCUCCAGAAUCGGAAGAUUGAUCUUGCUGUGUAUGCUGACUGAGUUCAGAAUCAGAAUCUAAUUCUUGCUGUAUCUGUUGUAGGUCUCCAUUUGAUGUAUCGGUCUGUUGAUACUGUUGCAGAUUGUCUCCAGAAUCGGAAGAUUGAUCCUGCUGUGAAUGCUGACUGAUUUGUUCAUUAUCAGAACUUUGUUCUUGCUGCGUCUGUUGUAGGUCUCCAUUUGAUGUAUCGGUCUGUUGAUACUGUUGCAAAUCGUCUGCAGAAUCGGAAGAUUGAUC